ACCGCGCAUCUAGGCGGCGGCUGCCGAGGUCGGGCCGGGCGGCUCAACUGGCGCAACCCGCCGCCACCGAGGUGGUGAUGGGCAAGGAGGAGGAGAUUGCGCGGAUCGCCCGGAGGUUGGACAAGAUGGUGACCAGGAAGAGCGCGGAGGGAGCCAUGGAUUUGCUGCGGGAGCUGAAGGCCAUGCCUGUUACAUUACACCUGCUCCAGUCCACCCGUAUUGGGAUGUCUGUCAAUGCCCUGCGGAAGCAGAGCUCGGAUGAGGAGCUCAUUGCCCUGGCCAAGUCCCUCAUCAAGUCCUGGAAGAAGCUCUUGGAUGUUUCUGAUGGCAAGACCAGGGAUCAAAGGAAGGGCACACCUCUGCCCACAUCGUCCUCAAAGGAUGCCUCAGGGACUGCGGAUCUCAGCUGCAAGAAGCCAGACCCACCUAGGACCUCAUCCACUCCGAGGAUCACCACAUUUCCCCCAGUACCCAUUACCUGCGAUGCUGUACGAAACAAAUGCCGUGAAAUGCUGACUUUGGCCCUGCAAACGGACCAUGAUCAUGAGGCCGUCGGUGUAGACUGUGAGCAUCUGUCAUCUCAGAUCGAGGAGUGCAUCUUCCUGGACGUGGGAAACACAGACAUGAAGUACAAGAACCGUGUGCGGAGCCGAAUCUCCAACCUGAAAGAUGCCAAGAACCCUGGCCUGCGGCGGAAUGUGUUGUGUGGUGCCAUUACACCCCAGCAGAUAGCCGUGAUGACAUCAGAGGAGAUGGCCAGUGAUGAGCUGAAGGAGAUCCGUAAGGCCAUGACCAAGGAGGCCAUCCGUGAGCAUCAGAUGGCCCGUACAGGUGGCACACAGACCGACCUGUUCACCUGCAGCAAGUGCAGGAAGAAGAACUGCACCUACACGCAGGUUGGGGUCCAUUCUAUCUUCCUUGGCAGGGACCUCAGGGCACACCAAUCCUCUUCAUGGAUACCACCUUUGUCCCUACUUCUACUGGUCUGGGGCUCUGUGCUAGGGCUAAGUGGCUUGGCCCUGCCCAGCUUGGAGAGACAGGAGUGUAGUCUUCUGUUUGGCAGUAGCUGUAGGACCUUCAGACCCUGCUAUGGAGGUAGAGGCUUAAAUAUUUUGGGGAGACCAUGUGGAUUCCAAGACGUACUGGGGACUUGGGAAGAGGGAAGUGUUAUUAAGAUGGCUUGUGGAAGCUGCCAUCAUCUGUAGCAGGGCAUGAACGGCAGAGCAGCUCAGUCUCCACCACCUGUAACGACUAAGCCCUGUGAUAGGUUUUCUCUUCCGUCUCUCAGAUGACCAGGGCCACUGGCAUCUCUGCUGAUCCUUUCAAUAUAUAGACCCUCCUUUGGGAAUUCUGUACUUAGCCAACAUUCUGGACUCUACUGAGCCCAGUUGUUCAGGCCCACAAAGAUCUGUUGUGGUGAUCUACCUUCUCCAUAAACCUAUGGAGGUUUUAGGAGGUUGAGGUCACCGGGAAGUUCCAAAUCAAGUCAUCAAUAGAGAUUGGGGAUUCAGACACCCACUUUACAGGUGCAGACUCGCAGCUCGGAUGAGCCCAUGACCACUUAUGUUGUCUGCAACGAGUGUGGGAAUCGCUGGAAGUUCUGCUGAACCCUUGUACGUACUGAUGUGUUGUAGUCCUGGCCAUGGCUAGCAUUGCCCCCUCCUGCAAUGUUCCUGGAUACAGCUUCUCUGGAGAUCCCCAGAAGGUGGCAUGCCCUGUCCCAGCCUGCCUGCCUGGUGUGCACCUUUUCGCCCUUUGUCCCUCAUUAUUAAAUGUUUUCUUUUGCCUUC